UCUACCUCUAGUAUUCUUCUCCAUUUAUACCCUCCUAUCCUUCCUUAUCUAUGAAGCGCUCAAAUUUGAAGAGAAGAAACGGAGAAGAUGAUGAAGAAAAAGUAGUUGAAGCUGCCAGCAUGAUCUGAGCUUUCCUUAAUUAUCCUAUUUGUAUCGAUCCAGAGGAGAGACUAGAUCAUGUGGCUGCUUCACCUGUUGAUGGUAGCAUGAAAAACCCUAAUCAGGUUAAACCCUAAUUUCCUGCCUCGAUCCAUUUUUGACAACUCGCUUUAUCAUGGAAAAACACACUAGAUGAGGUAUGCCAUAUAUUUAUCAAUUCACAUCUAAUUGAUUUUUUCAUUGAUAUGGGUAUUCCCCUUUGUGUUUUAUUUCUGAUUUCUCUCAUAAUCUGCUUUUUUUUUUUAAAUAAUAUCUGGUUGUUGUGUUCUUCUUUUCUAUGUCAAGGUUUGUGGAGAAUCUUAUUAGCAGGUAUGUGAUGUUGCUAAGGUCUUGAGUGACAGAAUUGCUGUCUUUUAAUUUGGUUGGUUCUUUUGAGAUCUAUCCUCUUGCCUUGAAGAUAGUGCUUUAAUAUUUUCUUUCAUGUGCUGUUCUUGUCAAUUUACUUUGUUUAUGCAUUCUUUUUUACUCAUGUCUUGUUGUUUAUUCAUAACCCAUGAUUUUGAAUUUUCUUUAUAUCUUUUUUAAAUUAAUUAGGUUUUAAUCCUUAGUGAUAGAUCAUCUUGAAACAGAAAAUGCUAUUUAGAAUACAGAAAAUUAAAUUAAUUAUUGUCUUCUUCUUCCUCCUCCUCUUUCUCUCUACCACCCAAAUUAAAGAUGAUAAGUUUCAUUAGAAUUGGUGGUUAAUUAGUUGUCAAAUUGAGAUUGAUUUCCUACUAAGACAAUAGGGAUGGAAUAGUAAUUUUUUUUCCCAUUUAGAGGUCGCAUUUGUAAUAAUCAUGAAAAUGAAAAAUAUGCAUGAAAUACUAAAACAGUGAACCAACAAAAUAUGCUGAGUUGAAAAAUUCGAGAAAUGAAUAGAGCUUAAUUAGAUCUAAUAGGAAAUUAAUGACUUUUCUUUUAGUUUUCAUGUUCAUUACAGUUGAGGAAAAUUAAAGCAUACAAAUGAGAUCAUAUUUUCUCAGAGAAAAUCCAUUUUCAGUGAAUUUUCCUAUUGCAUGAAACAAAUGCAUAGAACCCAUAUCUAUUUUCUCAUUGCAGAUCCAAAUCAAACAUCGUUUAGGGGAUUUUGAAGCCUACAAGAAUUUAGCCUGUAGAGAAACAAAGCUAGUAUGCCAUACCAGAACUUUAUCACUACUAUUUUCAGAAGUGGUUUGUGAGGACCAUUUUAUUUCCACGAUACUCAAUGAAUGUAAAAACCAAUUUGUGGGGACCAUCUCAUCCCAAUUCAACUAACAAUGCCUAAAUAAAUCCUAAUUUAAUUGUGAUCAGUUAUGUACCUUUCAUUAGCACUUUAUGUUCUUAAUAAGCUCUUCAUUUCAAUAAACAUUAUAUUCCAUUUCUUAAAAAUUGGAAACAACUGGGUCCAAGGCAUGUCAAGAUUAUAUUUGUUUAGUUCCAUAUUUGAAUUACAUAUAUACAUAAAUAGGAUAAAGAUUUAUGCUCAUUGACACCCACUGCAACUCUUCUCUUAAUUAUAAGAGAAGUUCUUGUGAGGACCAUUAGGGUGUCUGCAAUUCUAAGGCACAACAGCUACCUGGUCCUGGCUGACUGGCUCUAUCCUUUUAAUUUUCUCAUCAAGCACUAGCCUAAAAUGCAAACCUGGUAUGUAUAUAUAUAUAUAUAUAUAUAUAUAUUGAAUGUGGUACCUCCUUGUGAAAAAGACCUAACAAAACAUAUAUGCAUACAUUAUCUUUUGAAUAAAUUUGGCUUAUUCGUGAAAAUCAAUAAUUUCAUUUCUUUCUUUUGUUUUCCUUGGACACACGUCCUAUAUAUGCAAUAAUUGAUCUCCAAAGCUUGUAGCUUUUGACUACAAGUAUAAAUUUCUCAGAAGUUGCAGUCAAUAUUUAACACCAUGAAUCUCAUAUACAGCCACCUAAUGUGCAAGAUUAACUCCUCUAAGGAAUAUUUGAAUCUUUGAUCUGCUUGUGUUGUUUGUGUUGAAUAAUACUUGUGAGUUGCACUAUGUUUUAUGGUAUCAUGGCUUACAUACGCAGAUCUAUUUCUCGCUUGAAAGUAUUAAAUAUAUAAUCUAUGGAUAAAUUAGUUUUUUUGUCAUUAAUUUGGUUGUUAUCAAUGUUUCAUUUCCGUUUGUUUGCAAGCUUGAGUUAGCUAGACUCCAUGAAACCUUCACAAGAUUCCUGAAGCCGGCCACCUAUAGGAAACGUCAGCUGAUUGAGUUGGGCUAUGUCUUUUUAUGGGAUUUUCUUUUUUUGUCACGAUCUUUCAAGUGGGGUUUGUUACGUGCCAUCAAUAUUUAAUGGGGCUUUUCAGACGAUGAAGUGUCAAGUGAAGUAACCCUAGAAGGCGUUUCUUGACUUUUUUUGGGGUGGCUAAGCUUAUAUCAAUCACUUAUCAUCGUUUGAUAGAUAUUGGGGCUGCCAUGGGACUUUUUGAGUGGUCUCGGAUCAUGGAUAUUUGAAGCAAGAAGAAGUAUAAGCUUUAUUAGCAUAAUAUUUUUUGUACUGAUCUUGAGAGUGAUAUCAAAUUUCAAUGACUUCACGAGAAAUUUUAUAAUAAUUUAAUUCAAUUAAUUUAUUUUUA